AAAGUGGCGCACGGGUGAGUAACACGUGACUAACCUACCCCGGAGUGGGGGAUAACUGAGGGAAACCUUAGCUAAUACCGCAUAACACCUACGGGUCAAAGGAGCAAUUCGCUUCAGGAGGGGGUCGCGACCGAUUAGUUAGUUGGCGGGGUAAUGGCCCACCAAGACAGUGAUCGGUAUCCGGCCUGAGAGGGCGCACGGACACACUGGAACUUAAACACGGUCCAGACUCCUACGGGAGGCAGCAGUGGGGAAUUUUGCGCAAUGGGGGAAACCCUGACGCAGCAACGCCGCGUGGAGGAUGAAGUACUUCGGUACGUAAACUCCUUUCGAUCGGGACGAUAGUGACGGUACCUGCAGAAGAAGCGCCGGCUAACUACGUGCCAGCAGCCGCGGUAACACGCAGGGCGCAAGCGUUGUCCGGAAUUAUUGGGCGUAAAGAGCUCGUAGGCGGUCUGUUGCGUCCGCUGUGAAAACUCGGGGCUUAACCCCGAGCCUGCAGUGGAUACGGGCAGACUAGAGGUAGGUAGGGGAGAAUGGAAUUCCCGGUGUAGCGGUGAAAUGCGCAGAUAUCGGGAGGAACACCGGUGGCGAAGGCGGUUCUCUGGGCCUUACCUGACGCUGAGGAGCGAAAGCGUGGGGAGCGAACAGGAUUAGAUACCCUGGUAGUCCACGCCGUAAACGUUGGGCGCUAGGUGUGGGAUCCUUCCACGGAUUCCGUGCCGCAGCUAACGCAUUAAGCGCCCCGCCUGGGGAGUACGGCCGCAAGGCUAAAACUCAAAGGAAUUG
rnacentral:rRNA from 1 species